UACGGAGGGUGCAAGCGUUAUCCGGAUUCACUGGGUUUAAAGGGUGCGUAGGUGGGCAGGUAAGUCCGUGGUGAAAUCUCUGAGCUUAACUCAGAAACUGCCAUGGAUACUAUUUGUCUUGAAUAUUGUGGAGGUAAGCGGAAUAUGUCAUGUAGCGGUGAAAUGCUUAGAUAUGACAUAGAACACCAAUUGCGUAGGCAGCUUACUACACGAUCAUUGACGCUGAGGCACGAAAGCGUGGGGAGCAAACAGGA
rnacentral:rRNA from 1 species